GACGAACGCUGGCGGCGUGCUUAACACAUGCAAGUCGAACGAUGAACCCGGAGCUUGCUCUGGGGGAUUAGUGGCGAACGGGUGAGUAACACGUGAGUAACCUGCCCUGGACUCUGGGAUAAGCGUUGGAAACGACGUCUAAUACCGGAUAGGACCUUGGAUCGCAUGAUCUGGGGUGGAAAGUUUUUUCGGUCUGGGAUGGACUCGCGGCCUAUCAGCUUGUUGGUGAGGUAAUGGCUCACCAAGGCGUCGACGGGUAGCCGGCCUGAGAGGGUGACCGGCCACACUGGGACUGAGACACGGCCCAGACUCCUACGGGAGGCAGCAGAGGGGAAUAUUGCACAAUGGGCGAAAGCCUGAUGCAGCAACGCCGCGUGCGGGAUGACGGCCUUCGGGUUGUAAACCGCUUUUAGUAGGGAAGAAGGGCUUCGGCUUGACGGUACCUGCAGAAAAAGGACCGGCUAACUACGUG
rnacentral:rRNA from 1 species